rnacentral:tRNA from 1 species
GCCCGGAUGGCGGAACUGGUAGACGCGCUGGACUUAAAAUCCAGUGGACAUUUUGUCCUUGGGGGUUCAAGUCCCCCUCCGGGUA